GGAUUUAUUUUCCGUCUGCUGGCUUUACGGGCUGGUGGUGGCGGAUUAUUUCUUCUCUUCCUUCUCGGGUGAUGCGAUGGCCGAUGAUCCUAAACGAAAUUGAUGUGCCGCGAUUGGUUUGACUGCUCGCCGAUGAUCCUUCUCGAUGGGCGCCGAGAACAGGCUAGCAGUAGCACCCUGGUUGCGGACAUCCAAAGCACGAAUGCUUCGAACUUGAGGCAAUGAUUGACAUCUCAAUUCUCACGAGUCAAAGAUUUGGUCAGUCCUGCUGUGUCUUCAUUGGUGUUACUUGGGAAGGUACCAACCUAACCAAGGAGACGAACUUGAGGUACAGGAAGCCUGCAACAUUGAGGAUUCUGGUGAUAGUAGUCAAGGGAACACUCUGAGAUCAGGAGCAGUGCUCUAGGCGGUUUCAGGGCUCAAGCUGCCAAUGGUUGAUGAACACCACCAAUGUAGGUCGACUUGUUGAUCAAAUUUAUUAAGAUGCAUCUAUGAUUUUAAUCUAAGUUGUAAUCCUCUUGUUUUAAUCUGAGUAAUCUCAGAUGUUUUUAUUGAGAUGCAUCUAUGAUUUUGGAGAUAAAUGUAUGGCUUUUAUUUUGCAUAUUGGAGGUGGUACCUAAUUGCUUAAUGCUAAUA